rfam:Gossypium raimondii Chr06_contig_131, whole genome shotgun sequence.
UGUUAAAACUUUCAUCACUUUAUACCGCUAAAAACUAGUGUGCCUAACAAAAUAACUAGACAGUUAUACGUGGCAUGCCGCAUGUACCUUAUGCUUACGUACGAUGACCGGUUUUUAACAGUAAAAAUAGAUGAAAUUGUUAAUA